GAUGAACGCUGGCGGCGUGCCUAACACAUGCAAGUCGAACGAACAGACGCUGAGCUUGCUCCCUUGACGUUAGCGGCGGACGGGUGUGUAACACGUGGAUCAUCUUCUUCUAUUUCGGGGAUAACUUCGGGAAUCCGGUGCCAAUACCGGAUCAUAUCUUGAACCGCUUGGUGCAUUGGAGAAUGACGGCUUUGGCGUCUCGUUUAGCCGGUUCCGCGUCGGAUUAUCUAGUUGGUAAGGUAAAGGCUUACCAAGGCUACGAUGCGUAGCCGACCUGAGAGGAUGAUCGGCCACACUGGAACGGAGACACGGUCCAGACUCCUACGGGAGGCAGCAGUAGGGAAUCUUGCGCAAUGGGCGAAAGCUUGACGGAGCAACGCCGCGUGAGUGAAGAAGGUCUUCGGGUCGUAAAACUCUGUUGUUGGGAAAGAACAGAUGUGUAAGUAUCUAUGCGCGUCUUGACGGUACCUAAUGAGAAAGCCACGGCUAACUACGUG
rnacentral:rRNA from 1 species